CCUACGGGUGGCAGCAGUGAGGAAUAUUGGUCAAUGGGCGCGAGCCUGAACCAGCCAAGUAGCGUGAAGGAUGACUGCCCUACGGGUUGUAAACUUCUUUUAUAAAGGAAUAAAGUGCGGCACGUGUGCCUUUUUGUAUGUACUUUAUGAAUAAGGAUCGGCUAACUCCGUGCCAGCAGCCGCGGUAAUACGGAGGAUCCGAGCGUUAUCCGGAUUUAUUGGGUUUAAAGGGAGCGUAGAUGGGUUGUUAAGUCAGUUGUGAAAUUUUGCGGCUCAACCGUAAAAUUGCAAUUGAUACUGGCAGUCUUGAGUACAGUUGAGGUAGGCGGAAUGCGUGGUGUAGCGGUGAAAUGCUUAGAGAUCACACAGAACACCGAUUGCGAAGGCAGCUUACUAAACUGCAACUGACAUUGAUGCUCGAAAGUGUGGGUAGCAAACAGGAUUAGAUACCCUGGUAGUC
rnacentral:rRNA from 1 species